UGGGUAGUUUGACUGGGGCGGUCUCCUCCUAAAGAGUAACGGAGGAGCACGAAGGUUGGCUAAUCCUGGUCGGACAUCAGGAGGUUAGUGCAAUGGCAUAAGCCAGCUUGACUGCGAGCGUGACGGCGCGAGCAGGUGCGAAAGCAGGUCAUAGUGAUCCGGUGGUUCUGAAUGGAAGGGCCAUCGCUCAACGGAUAAAAGGUACUCCGGGGAUAACAGGCUGAUACCGCCCAAGAGUUCAUAUCGACGGCGGUGUUUGGCACCUCGAUGUCGGCUCAUCACAUCCUGGGGCUGAAGUAGGUCCCAAGGGUAUGGCUGUUCGCCAUUUAAAGUGGUACGCGAGCUGGGUUUAGAACGUCGUGAGACAGUUCGGUCCCUAUCUGCCGUGGGCGCUGGAGAACUGAGGGGGGCUGCUCCUAGUACGAGAGGACCGGAGUGGACGCAUCACUGGUGUUCGGGUUGUCAUGCCAAUGGCACUGCCCGGUAGCUAAAUGCGGAAGAGAUAAGUGCUGAAAGCAUCUAAGCACGAAACUUGCCCCGAGAUGAGUUCUCCCUGACUCCUUGAGAGUCCUGAAGGAACGUUGAAGACGACGACGUUGAUAGGCCGGGUGUGUAAGCGCAGCGAUGCGUUGAGCUAACCGGUACUAAUGAACCGUGAGG
rnacentral:rRNA from 1 species